UUUCAUGAUAUACCUCCUUGACCUUUUCUGGUCUGAGUCAAGGCUUUGCCCUGAAAAAGGCAACAGCUCUAAAAAUCUGUCUGUGAACUCCUCUACACUCAUCUCAUCAGUCUGCCUCAACUGCUCGAACUCUAUCAUCUUCAGCUCCCUUGAACUAUCUGGGAAAGCCCAUCCUGCAAACUCGUUUGCAAACUCUUCCCAAGACAUGCUAUCCACUUUCGGGUUCACAUAAUUCUUGAACCACUCUCGUGCCUUCUUGCACUUAAGUGUGAACCCAGCCAUCUGAAUGGCUCUACUAUCAUCAGCCCCA
rnacentral:lncRNA from 1 species